UCCGAAUUAGUCUAGUGGUUUAGGAUCCCUGCCUCUCACGCAGGUUGCCCGGGUUCGAACCCCGGAUUCGGAG